CCCAGCCAGGAGUCAUUAAUCAGUGCGCGACGCGGGGGGCGGAAGGAAAGGUAUAGUGAGCGAAAAAUCAGAUCACACCUCGAGGGCAGGAAGAGGACGAGGCGAGGGUGACGAGGGAAGGAAGAAAGAACCAAUGAGGGAAGGAUGUCCGCGAUCUUCUGUCCACGACUUCAGAAGGAGUGGACAGACGCUGCUUUUUCUACUGUUACCGAGGCGAGGCACAGACUCUUCAGCGCCGUCCGCCUUCUCCUUCUCUUCGCCACUUCAUUCUUCGCCUCCUCCUCCUCUUCCUCCUCCAGAACGUCAUCGAUAUAGUGGUGCAGGACGUGACGCAAAAGGAAAGGUACCAUCUUAUUAUUGGUAUGAGG